AAUGGGGGCAACCCUGAUCCAGCAAUGCCGCGUGUGUGAAGAAGGCCUUAGGGUUGUAAAGCACUUUCAGUGGUGAGGAAGGUCACUAAUUUAAUAGAUUAGUGAAUUGACGUUAGCCACAGAAGAAGCACCGGCUAACUCUGUGCCAGCAGCCGCGGUAAUACAGAGGGUGCAAGCGUUAAUCGGAAUUACUGGGCGUAAAGGGCGCGUAGGUGGAUACUUAAGUCAGAUGUGAAAGCCCCGGGCUUAACCUGGGAGGGUCAUCUGAUACUGGGUAUCUAGAGUACAAGAGAGGAAGGCGGAAUUUCCGGUGUAGCGGUGAAAUGCGUAGAUAUCGGGAAGAACACCAAUGGCGAAGGCAGCCUUCUGGCUUGAUACUGACACUGAGGCGCGAAAGCGUGGGUAGCGAACAGGAUU
rnacentral:rRNA from 1 species